CGGUCAUUACCAAGGCUUUUAGAAUGCAGUUUCUCAUUUGCUGUGGACAUGUAUGUAUGUAUAUAUAUACAUAUAUAUGUGUAUAUAUACAUACGUAUACAUACAUAUAUACAUAU